AUACGUAGGGAGCGAGCGUUGUCCGGAAUCACUGGGUGUAAAGGGAGCGUAGGCGGGAGGGGAAACCAGAUGUGAAAUGCCUGGGCUUAACACAUGCGCUGCAUUUGAAACUGCCUUUCUUGAGCGAAGUAGAGGCAAGCGGAAAUCCUGUCGGUGGGGUGAAAUGCGUAGAUAUCAGGAGGAAAAACGGUGGCGAAGGCGGCUUACUGGGCUUUUACUGACGCUGAGGCUCGAAAGCGUGGGGAGCAAACAGGAUUAGAUACCCUGGUAGUCCACGCUGUAAACGAUGAUUACUAGGUGUGGGGGGACUGACCCCUUCCGUGCCUCAGUUAACACAAUAAGUAAUCCACCUGGGGAGUACGGCCGCAAGGUUGAAACUCAAAUGAAUUGACGGGG
rnacentral:rRNA from 1 species